UAUUACCUCUCCAAAACAAUUAGUAAAAUAUCAUUAAAUAAUAAAUUAGACUUUUACCCAUUAACUUGGAGAGAUUUUUUCUUUUUCCUUUUUUACAGCUGCACCUGCCUCCUAUGGAAAUUCCUGGACUAGGAGUCAAAUCGCUGGAUUUAGUCACAUGGCUACCUCUAGCUGCAAGCACGGAUGGGUAGGAGGAGAGGCGUUGCUCGGUGGCAAACCAGUCACAGAAGGUGCUCUGCAAGAUGGCAUCACCCAGUUUUCCUACAUCUCAGCCGUUGCCUGCCUCGGGCCUCCACGGGUCCUGGCAACGGUAGACAUUCCUGGCGGCGGGAGGAGGGGUUCCUUCACUCCCAUCUCUUUCCAGGACUGCAAACUCCUCCUCAACGUCUCAGCAAGUAAGUCCGGACAUCCUUUCACUUGUCUACGGUGCACAGCGGACCUCCUCUUGUCUCAACCUCUUCAUCUAGGUCAUGCUCCAGGGCCAUAGCCCUUCCCCAUCAUGCAAUCGCAUUUAAGGGGUCUCUCCAAAUACCAGAAGCUUUUCUCCUCUGUGUGGAAAUCUCCCAAGGGGCCAGCCGGCUGCCACCACAGCGACUUUUAAGC
rnacentral:lncRNA from 1 species